rnacentral:lncRNA from 1 species
GAGAGAGAGAGACCGCAGAGGGGGUUGAGAGCUCUUCCCUCCCUCAGGUCCCGCCAGCCAGCUGGAGCAUCUGCCCAUCCGGUUAGGGUGGUCUCUGGGGAUCGGUAGGUGGAGACAAGGCAGCUCUACAUCAUGCCGGCCCAGAGGACGUGUGCUGGGCGAGCUGUGUCCGUGAGAGAAUGCAGUGCUGGGGCCUUGUCUCCUGUAGCUCAUCAACUGCCCCAGGGUCAGGUGGGUGGGGUGCCCGAAGCUGUCCAAGCACCAGCCGAGCAUCUGUGUUGCUUGCUGGGGAGACAACUUGUCACAGUUUCCUUCAACUGUGAGUCACCCCUGCACCUCCAAGAAGCAGCUCUGGAAGCCCGUUGAGGAAACACACAGCAGCCAUGGUGCCAUGGAAUGAGUCCUGGACUUGGGUUCGGACCAAUGAGCCCAAAUCUCAGCUCUG